ACACAAUACUAGUAUACUAAUACUACACAAAUAUGUACCCAACACACAUGCGUAAAAUAUCAGAGUAUCAGAUCAUUUAGACAUACGUGUUACAUAGGUACAUAAGGACCAUAUCGUUCAUGCGUAUACCUAGGUAUAUCGAGGUACAUACCAGUCAUACUCAUACAUAAUUUACAGCCGAGGGUGCACGCGUAUAUCCGGGUGCGUUUAUAAUGUGCACAACACGGUCACGAGGUCAACCCGACAACAGUCGCUGCAGCAGCAGCAGCAGCAGCAGCAGCAGCAGCAGCAGCAACAUCGUCGUGGUCAGUUUUCCCGUUCCGGUGUAAUAGGCUAAAUAUGACUUUCAAGAAAAAUUGCAAAUGGUUGUAUCAGAUACGAAAUUUAGAGGCGCUGCCGAAGAACGUGCAAGCGUCUGGCCAGGGUCAUCGAUGCCAUGGAAAAAAAAGAUUAUGAAAUUACGAUUUAGGUACUGGGUGAUAUUUUGUAUACAAGUAUAUUGUUCUGUGAUAUAACUAUAAUACAGUAAAUACUAAAUGCUAUAAUCGUUUCUUGAAAAGUAUCAAUUUUUUUAAAAUAUAUAUGAACAAUUUUAAACAU